rnacentral:lncRNA from 1 species
CGAGAUGGCGUCCCUCGCGCCCCACGGUUCUCCUCCCGAAGGCGGCUCCCACCCCGCGCAGCCAGGAGGCCCCAGGGCCCGCCUCACGCAGGCUCCCGAGCACGACUACCCCUAAAGUGGAACGGGAGUGGCCGGAUUCGAGAGCGAGGAAAAGCAGCAACCGGAAGGGCUUGACGGGUCGCGGCGCUAGGAGCCCAGGCCUCAGAGGAAGAAGAGGGCGGGAGCAAGCCGAGCUGUCACGACCGGAGGGGGGACUCUCAGCCUUUCCAGACACUUAAGUAUUCGUCAAAGAGUCACCCCAGCAGUGGUGAUCACAGACAUGAAAAGAUGCGAGACGCCGCAGAUCCUUCACCACCAAACAAAAUGUUGCGGAGAUCUAAUAGUCCUGAAAACAAAUACAGUGACAACACAGGUCACAAUAAGGCCAAAAAUGUGCAUACUCAAAGAGUUAGAGAAAGGGAAGGUGGGACCAGUUACUCUCCACAAGAAAACUCACACAACCACAGUGCUCUUCAUAGUUCAAAUUCACAUUCUUCUAAUCCAAGCAAUAAUCCGAGCAAAGCUUCUGAUGCACCUUAUGAUUCUGCAGAUGAUUGGUCUGAGCACAUUAGCUCAUCUGGAAAAAAAUACUACUACAAUUGUCGCACAGAAGUUUCACAGUGGGAGAAACCAAAAGAGUGGCUUGAAAG